GACUGCCGGUGACAAACCGGAGGAAGGUGGGGAUGACGUCAAGUCAUCAUGCCCCUUACGGCCUGGGCUACACACGUGCUACAAUGGGGCGUACAAACGGUUGCGAAGCAGCAAUGUGAAGCUAAUCUGGGAAAACGUCUCGUAGUCCGGAUUGGGGUCUGCAACUCGACCUCAUGAAGUCGGAGUCGCUAGUAAUCGCAGAUCAGCAACGCUGCGGUGAAUACGUUCCCGGGCCUUGUACACACCGCCCGUCACACCACGAAAGUCGGUAACACCUGAAGCCGGUGGGCCAACCUCUUGGAGGCAGCCGUCGAAGGUGGGACCGAUGAUUGGGGUGAAGUCGUAACAAGGUAGCCGUAUCGGAAGGUGCGGCUGGAU
rnacentral:rRNA from 1 species